rnacentral:rRNA from 1 species
UACGGAGGGUGCAAGCGUUAUCCGGAUUCACUGGGUUUAAAGGGUGUGUAGGCGGAUUUUUAAGUCAGUGGUGAAAUCUCCGGGCUCAACCCGGAAACUGCCAUUGAUACUAUUAGUCUUGAAUUCUGUUGAGGUGGGCGGAAUACAUCAUGUAGCGGUGAAAUGCUUAGAUAUGAUGUAGAACACUGAUUGCGAAGGCAGCUCACUAAGCAGACAUUGACGCUGAGGCACGAAAGCGUGGGGAUCAAACAGG